CGCCGUGCUGUUUGGUGGGCUGAACCAACCGCGGAGGGAAAAGGGGGCGAUAAGUCGACAAUAAACUGCACACAACGUUUUAAUUUUUGGCCUUUCGCUCGGCAGCGGGAGCUCCUGCCGAAGAGGAGCGAUGAGGUGCCUCUGAGACUCGGAGUGUCACUGUGGGGUAGAAGUUCAAAAUAACCGCCCGGAGACAGAAUAAAACGCUUUUAAGUGCCUCAGGUGGUGAAUUCAUAACCAUUCCAUGCA